rnacentral:rRNA from 1 species
GUGAGGAAUAUUGGGCAAUGGGGGGAACCCUGACCCAGCAACGCCGCGUGGAGGAAGAAGGCCUUCGGGUUGUAAACUUCUUUUACAGGGGAAGAGAGAGGACGGUACCCUGAGAAUAAGUCACGGCUAACUACGUGCCAGCAGCCGCGGUAAUACGUAGGUGGCGAGCGUUAUCCGGAAUUAUUGGGCGUAAAGCGCACGCAGGCGGCUCCACAAGUCCGACGUGAAAUCUCCUGGCUUAACUGGGAAGGGUCGUUGGAAACUGUGGGGAUUGAGGCGAUGAGAGGGGCGUGGAAUUCCCGGUGUAGUGGUGGAAUGCGUAGAUAUCGGGGGGAACACCAGUGGCGAAAGCGGCGCCCUGGCAUCGGCCUGACGCUCAUGUGCGAAGGCGUGGGGAGCGAACGGGAUUAGAAACCCCAGUAGUCC